GAUGAAGAACUUAGCGAAAUGCGAUAAGUAAUGCGAAUUGCAGAAUUCCGUGAGUCAUCGAAUCUUUGAACGCACAUUGCGCCCUCUGGUAUUCCGGAGGGCAUGCCUGUCUGAGCGUCAUUGUCAACCCUCAAGCUCAGCUUGCUGUUGGGUCCCCGUCGUUGCUUUAACGGCGGACCCGAAAGGUAAUGGCAGAGUCCGUGAGACCCUAGACGCAGCGAGCUUCUAGCACGCGUCUGGACGUUUUUCGGGCUCGGUCUUAACUAGAUGAUAACUUCCGAUUGACCUCAGAUCAGGUAGGGAUACCCGCUGAACUUAAGCAUAUCAAUAAGCGGAGGA
rnacentral:misc_RNA from 1 species